rnacentral:rRNA from 1 species
UACGUAGGGUGCGAGCGUUGUUCGGAAUCAUUGGGCGUAAAGCGAGAGUAGGUGGUUUGCUAAGUCGGGUGUGAAAUCCCUGGGCUCAACCCAGGAAGUGCAUUCGAAACUAGCUGGCUAGAAGAUGGUAGAGGAAGGUGGAAUUCCAAGUGUAGAGGUGAAAUUCGUAGAUAUUUGGAGGAAUACCGGCGGCGAAGGCGGCCUUCUGGACCAUGCUUGACACUGAGACUCGAAAGCGUGGGGAGCAAACAGG